CUGUGAGAUUACAUAUGCAUAUAGUGUUAAUUCUAUAAAAAUGUAGUAUCAACUCACAAAGUUAUCAGGUUAAAUUAGCUUUAUCAAUGAAUAAAAAUGUUGUUGCAUGACCAAUGUCAUACCGUGGCUUGACCAUGGUAUCCAGUAAAAAUUAUUUUGCUGAGUAUCGUAGUAAAAGUUAAGAUAUGAUGUUAAGACUUUUUUUGAGUUGUGCAAUAACAUUAACAGCAAACUAUAAUACAAGUCUAUCUUUUUAAAAGUUUGUAUUGCUA
rnacentral:misc_RNA from 1 species